rnacentral:rRNA from 1 species
GACGAACGCUGGCGGCGUGCUUAACACAUGCAAGUCGAACGGAAAGGCCCUGCUUGCAGGGUACUCGAGUGGCGAACGGGUGAGUAACACGUGGGUGAUCUGCCCUGCGCUUCGGGAUAAGCUUGGGAAACUGGGUCUAAUACCGGAUAGGAACCAUCUUUAGUGUGGUGGUUGGAAAGUUUUUUCGGUGUAGGAUGAGCUCGCGGCCUAUCAGCUUGUUGGUGGGGUAAUGGCCUACCAAGGCGGCGACGGGUAGCCGGCCUGAGAGGGUGUACGGCCACAUUGGGACUGAGAUACGGCCCAGACUCCUACGGGAGGCAGCAGUGGGGAAUAUUGCACAAUGGGCGCAAGCCUGAUGCAGCGACGCCGCGUGGGGGAUGAAGGCCUUCGGGUUGUAAACUCCUUUCGCUAGGGACGAAGCUUUUUGUGACGGUACCUAGAUAAGAAGCACCGGCUAACUACGUG